AAGUCGUAACAAGGUUUCCGUAGGUGAACCUGCGGAAGGAUCAUUAACACAUCGUUAAUCAUCAAACCAAAUGUGAACUAAACGUCCCUGUCUUCACUGUUGUUAUCCAUUCCGUCUGGAAUGGAAGCCGCAGUGCAGCAGACAAUACCAUUCCUAGUAGUUAUUACCGACUUCUAGGUUAAGUCCAACUUUACCUAUUAGUCGUUAAUAAUGAACUAUUCACCAAUUUUCACCCUAAAACUAAAAAUUGUCUAAUCUUCUUAAACUUGAUGACUACUCCGGUAGUUUUAAGCUUUACGAAACAUUGAACAACUCUUAGCAAUGGAUAUCUUGGGUCAU
rnacentral:misc_RNA from 1 species